CAGGGACCGGUGCGAACCAGUCGAAACCCACCCCUGAGAACAAUGUAAAGAGUAUUACCCCUGCAAAAGCAAACCAGAUCCCUUAAUACAGCAUGUU